GGGAACCCUCGGCUGGGGAGGCUCGCUCUCCGGCUGAGCCGGGUUGGGGGCGGAGCCCGGCCUGCAGCUGCAGCGACCCGAGCGGCGGGAGGUGGCGCCUCCGUCCUGGAGCCGGGAUUCGCAGCCAUGACGGCGUCGGCCCGCGGCUUCUGGCUGCUCCGCGGCCGCCUGGGCCGAGUGUCGGCGCUGGGCCGGAGCGCGCUGUCAUCCCUGGCGGCGCCAGGAACGGCCGGGCGCACGUUCCGGGGCUUUCGGAGCAGCGGCAUGAGACAUGACGCAGUUAGUAUCUCAGGAACUGAAAUGGCCAAACAAAUUCAGAAAGAAAUACAGCAAGAUGUGGAAUCUUGGAUUUCCCUUGGGAACAGAAGACCUCACCUCAGUAUCAUCUUAGUGGGUGAUAACCCAGCAAGCCACACAUACGUCAGGAAGAAGAUCAAAGCCGCUGCUGCUGUAGGUAUCUGUAGUGAGAUCAUUCUCAAACCGAAGGACGUUUCUCAGGAAGAACUUUUGGAUAUAACUGAUCAGUUGAACAUGGACCCAAGAAUCAGUGGUAUAUUAGUUCAGUUGCCACUGCCAGACCAUGUAGAUGAGCGGACAGUAUGCAAUGGAAUUGCCCCGGAAAAAGACGUAGAUGGAUUUCAUAUUAUCAACAUUGGAAGACUAUGCCUUGAUCAGCAUUCUCUCAUACCUGCCACUGCUAGUGCUGUUUGGGAAAUUAUCAGAAGAACAGGAAUUGAAACAUUUGGAAAAAAUGUCGUUGUGGCUGGAAGAUCCAAGAAUGUAGGGAUGCCCAUUGCCAUGCUCUUACACACUGAUGGAGAACACGAACGGCCGGGAGGUGAUGCAACUGUGACAAUAGCUCACAGAUAUACCCCCAAAGAGCAACUGAAGAUCCAUACUCUGAUGGCAGAUGUUAUCAUAGUAGCUGCAGGUAUUCCCAAGUUGAUUACAUCUGAUAUGGUUAAAGAAGGUGCUGCUGUAAUCGAUGUGGGUAUCAACUACAUCCAUGACCCAAUAACAGGAAAGACAAAAUUAGUUGGAGACGUGGACUUUGAAGUGAUUCUCAGUGGUGUGUACUGGAAUCAUGAGGUGGGAGGAAGCAUUUCUAGUCUGACUACAGUUCUCAAGAGAUUCCAAGGUACUCGAUGACUACAAAUUGAAAAUCACUCUACUAAGUUUCAUGGAUCAAUGAAUGAACAGUUAACGCACCCUGGGGGGUUAACAAGCACCGCAAAGGAAGUGACAUUUAGCCAGAUCUGAAGAGGAAGAAUAAAUAUUCAUCAGAUGGAGAAGCGUGGAAAGGAUGUGGCAAAGAAAAUGCUGUUAAGAAGAAGGCUAGCUUUAUCACUCCUGUUCCAGGAGGCGUGGGACCAAUGACGGUGGCGAUGCUUCUCAAGAACACCCUUCUGGCAGCUAAAAAAGUCAUUUACUAGAUCACAGGCAAGAAUAAAGCAAACUGAAGUCAUGCUACGUAUUUAUUUGACAAAAGGCAAAAACCUUUAUAUUUUACUAUAAAGCUAUUUCUACACUGUAUUUAUUUUUUCAUGGAUGGAAUCAUUGUGGAUCAGAUGAUUCACACAAUCUUAUGCAUUUCUUGCUAAUAAUCACUGAAUAUUUUGAGUGGAUUUUGAGUUUUAGGGAAAAAAAACAACUGCAAUGAAAACUUUGGUAACAGUUGCUUAUUUUGUGAAUAAUAUUUGUUCAUGUUAAAACUAAUAAAGGGCUCAUAAAAGAUACAUAUAUUUUUGACACAAAUAUCACAAAUAGUGUGUUUUCAACAAACGUUUUGUCAAAUAGGCUCCUUUGUAAAAUGUAAUUUAAGUUUUGCCAUAAUCAUGCUCAAUUUUUAUAUAUUUUAUAUUCUGUAUCAGUCUGAAAAAAGUUUACUUGCUAAAAGAAAGAUAAAAUGUUAAAAAUAAAAUUUUGAUCUCACAUGCUUCCCAAAUGCAUCCUACAAGACAUACUAAUGAGAAAUGAUGCUCCGUUUGAGGAAAGAAAAACAUACAAGUAAGGUAAAAAAUGCAGUGCUACUUGGAAAGGUACUGAUUAUUUCAAAUUGUGAAUAACUACUUGCCAUAGUAAAAAUGCAAUAAGAAUAUGUUAGGUUUACAUGUAAUUUCUUUGUUCUUCUAGAAAAAUAUUUGGACAAUACCUUCCUUGAGAAAUAAUGGAAAAUCCAAAACCAAACAAAUAUACAAAACAAAACGAAGGUUGUAUUUUCCCACAAGUAUGAGAAAAAUACAAUAUAGUAUGAAUGAGGACUUCAUUAAAGAAUAGUUGUUAUGUUUGUUCACAAAUCUAGAAAUCUAAUAGGAAACUAUGACACUUAUAAUAUGCCAAAGCUAAUCCUUAGGAUAUGACUAAAAACAUACUGCUUUGUUGCCCACAGUUCUUCCCUCUUCUCUUAUAUUAUAGCCUUUGGUUCUCAAAGCAGAUGCCAUGAUUCUAACACAAUUUAAAUUAGAAAAAACAUGUGAAUGUCAGUUGAAGGCUAUUUUGAGACUACACUGGGCAUAUAAUUGUAUUGCUUUCAGGCCCAAAUCCCAGUCUGUUUAGGUACCAGUAAUGAUUCUUACCCAAUGCAUGUCUUUAUUAGUGUACACUCUUGAUCAUUUGUGUGAAAAUAGACUAGAUGUUUAUAAUUAAUUAUAUUUCAACUGUAUAAUAAAAUC